rnacentral:rRNA from 1 species
AACGCUGGCGGCACUGCCUUACACAUGCAAGUCGAACGGCAGCACGGGAGCAAUCCUGGUGGCGAGUGGCGAACGGGUGAGUAAUAUAUCGGAACGUGCCCAGUCGUGGGGGAUAACGUAGCGAAAGCUACGCUAAUACCGCAUACGAUCUAUGGAUGAAAGCGGGGGAUCGCAAGACCUCGCGCGAUUGGAGCGGCCGAUAUCAGAUUAGGUAGUUGGUGAGGUAAAGGCUCACCAAGCCGACGAUCUGUAGCUGGUCUGAGAGGACGACCAGCCACACUGGGACUGAGACACGGCCCAGACUCCUACGGGAGGCAGCAGUGGGGAAUUUUGGACAAUGGACGCAAGUCUGAUCCAGCCAUUCCGCGUGCAGGAUGAAGGCCCUCGGGUUGUAAACUGCUUUUGUACGGAACGAAACGGUGAGCUCUAAUACAGUUUGCUGAUGACGGUACCGUAAGAAUAAGCGCCGGCUAACUACGUG